rnacentral:lncRNA from 1 species
GCCAAUCGGAAGUUAGCUGGUGGCGCUAUGCUUUACGACCCUGGGUGUGCUUUACGGACAAGCGCACGACAAUGACGUAGAGAGCAUAGCAACCACCCUGGGAGGGCCUAUGAGCCAUAACAACCAGUUGACCAAUCAACACAGGGCAAGCCCUCCAAGCCUGGAGGCACACCAAUCGUGAGCCUGUGCGUACCCCUAGACACUCCCCUUACGCUGCCCUAUAAGAUCUUUUGGGAGACCCAAGGAGCCGUCUUUUUCUAGCCGUCUGCCAUGGCGGGUGGGUGAAAGACCCGAGCUAACAUGGGGUUAGUUCGUUAAAUUACAAUAAAGCCUCAUGCAGUUUGCAUCAAGCUUUCGCCUCCAUUCUGUGUUUGGGGUGGCCGCCGUCCUGGACUAAGAUUCUGAAAGCCUCAGCUUUCUGAGGGUCUUACAUUUUGGGGGCUCGUCCUGGAUUUGCGACCACCCCUCACCUGAGUGGAGUCGAUCUUGGAGACAGACUGCCAGAUCCGGACAGUGACCCAAAGUCUCCAAAGAAGAUUACGAGGCACCUCAGUUCCUGCACCUGGACCAGUGAGCGAGAUGCUCAGAUGUGAAACCUGC